UUCUAUCUCUCUCUCUCUCUCUCGCUCGACCGAAACCGAAAACAGAGCAAAGGCUCUUCGGUCUCUCUCUACCUCCACCGGCCACCAAACGGCGUCGAACCACUUCCUUUUGCUUCGUCUCAGCCUUGCGCAGCUGCCAGAGGCAGCCUUGCACCGUGACACGGCCACCAGCGGCGGCGGGAAACUCCGCCCGGUUUGAGCUCGUUUUGGAACCAAGCUUGAUAUCUCAAGCUACCGGUCACCAAUCCUCACCAAAAUCCAUCCACAAGCUCGCCUCAACCUCCUGAAGCUCCCAGAAGUGUCCUUGCACGGCGGCGUUGCGCGUGGUGGCGGCUGGAAGCCAGCCCCAAUCAAAAUAGAAACCGAGCGAUCGAUCUCGAUAUCUCGAGCUAUAGGUCACCAUUCCUCGUGAUUCCUGUCUCACUGGACUCGCCUCGACUUGCUGAUCAAGGACCAGGAAGGAUCGGAUCUGGGUAGAUCGAUUUCACGUUCGUCGGAGCUCGCCUCGUUUUAGAUCGAAAACCACCUUCAAAUCCGGAUAUCUCGAGUUACAGACGACCUUUUCUUGUGAUUCUUGGCUUGAUGAACUCGCCUUGAGUUUCUGAAGAAGUCUCCAGAAGGGAUCGAAGCGAUUGGUGGAAGUUUUUACGUCGAUCGGAGCCCUCGCCGGAUUCUGCAAAUUUUCCGGCAACCGUAGCUUCAAAGGUGAUUGACGGUCUUCCUUGGGUGAGCGGUUUCGGUGUGUAUUGUGUUAAAUUGAAGACGCAGUGGGAAUAUCGAGCGGGUAAUCCUGCAGGUCAGGAGAAUCAGGGCGGUGAUCGUACGGGUUAGAGUAUUUGUCAUAGAUUUACAGCAAUUGUAAUAGUGAGGUGAGUUAAGCUCAUUUGAGCCUUACAAUUUGAUUUGGUGAGAGUGUGUUGUAAUAAAUAAAUUGAGGAUUUGGUUUAUUGUAAUAUUGAGAGGUGUGAAGUGUGGUUGUUUGUGAGAAAAAAAUUUCAGGACGUUAUUUGUAAUUGUUAUUAUUCAUGUUUCGGACUUUGAAUUGAUUAUUCAAAAUUCGGGGCGUGACAGUAGGUUCAUUGGUUUUU